rnacentral:rRNA from 1 species
GAUGAACGCUGGCGGCGUGCCUAAUACAUGCAAGUCGAGCGAACAGACGAGGAGCUUGCUCCUUCGACGUUAGCGGCGGACGGGUGAGUAACACGUAGGUAACCUACCUAUAAGACUGGGAUAACUUCGGGAAACCGGAGCUAAUACCGGAUAAUAUUUCGAACCGCAUGGUUCGAUAGUGAAAGAUGGCUUUGCUAUCACUUAUAGAUGGACCUGCGCCGUAUUAGCUAGUUGGUAAGGUAAAGGCUUACCAAGGCAACGAUACGUAGCCGACCUGAGAGGGUCAUCGGCCACACUGGAACUGAGACACGGUCCACACUCCUACGGGAGGCAGCAGUAGGGAAUCUUCCGCAAUGGGCGAAAGCCUGACGGAGCAACGCCGCGUGAGUGAUGAAGGUCUUCGGAUCGUAAAACUCUGUUAUUAUGGAAGAACAAACGUGUAAGUAACUGUGCACGUCUUGACGGUACCUAAUCAGAAAGCCACGGCUAACUACGUG